CCUACGGGGGGCAGCAGUGGGGAAUAUUGCGCAAUGGGCGAAAGCCUGACGCAGCGACGCCGCGUGAGGGAUGAAGGUCUUCGGAUCGUAAACCUCUGUCAGCAGGGAAGAACGGUCACGGGGCUAAUCAGCAGUGAAUUGACGGUACCUGCAAAGGAAGCACCGGCUAACUCCGUGCCAGCAGCCGCGGUAAUACGGAGGGUGCGAGCGUUAAUCGGAAUUACUGGGCGUACAGCGCUCGUAGGCGGUAUGUCAAGUCAAGGGUUAAAUCCCCGCUCUCCACGUGGGAACUGCCUUUGAAACUGGCAAACUGUAGUGUGUGAGAGGAUAGUGGAAUUCCCGGUGUAGGAGU
rnacentral:rRNA from 1 species